rnacentral:lncRNA from 1 species
UAAGAAUGAUACUAAAAUUAAGCAGCAAAAACCAGAAGCAUUUAUAAUAUAGUCAUCUCAAGUGAAUACGUCUGUUAUUUUGUUAUUACACAAUAUUUUGUUUUGUAGUUACUGUGUUAUAGUAAUAAAUUAAACUUAUGGACUUUCUACAAGAAAUAUAUAUAUAUAUACAUACACCACGUGCGGCCACUGGAACAAAAAACCCUAAUUAGAAAGAUGGAUAUAAUGAUCAUGAAGGUAAUGAUGAUACUUUAAAAGUCAAUCAAUCUAGUAAGAGUGGAUACGAGGAAUAAAGGACACAUCGAUGCACAAAGGUAUUCGAUAUUUUUGUAGAAUCCGGAGAAGGGUCGUAUUUUUGUAAAUAGUUUAUCAUAAUAAAUUAUUAAUGACUGCUCACACGACUCGAACAUGUAACUUAUGCCAUAUAAAUCACAUAGAUAUAAUUUUACUAAAUAAAUAAUUAAAAUAAAAAACAGAAGAGCAGAGACGGACAGAACAGACACUUGAAGAUAUCAUAAAGAAGAAUUAGGGUAAUGAUAAAAUUUGGCACAAAUACAUAGAGAGAAAUCAAGGCUAUAUAAAAGAGCACAAAUGAGAAGUAAAUAAAAUGCAGAAUCUUAUAUUUUAGAAAAAUAUAAGGUAAACUUAAGAUUGGUAAUGAUGUGUACUAUAUUACCCUUUACUCGUGGCAGGAAAAGUGGUAUAGGAGUCAAAAUCCUCAUGAUUUCACUAAUCUGCUCUUGUCCAACUACUUUAAUUAAUAUCUUCUGAUGAGCCAAAAACUUAGCAUGGAAAAGCUUAAAACUUCACCUAGAAUCACAAUCCCUAAACCCUAAAAAUAAGAAAUAAAACCCCUACCUUCUUAAAUUUUUCUUGAUCCAUACAUGUAUAGAUUGUUGAGAUAUGAUAUAAUAUAAUACAGUCAGUAUCCUUUAUAACAAUACUUCGUUACAACGGCUAAUUUUUAAAAUCAAUUUUUCAUGUUCUGUUGUGAAUUACAUUUCCCAUAACAACACUUCAAUACAUAUAGCAAUCAAAAAAUUUUGAAACAAACCAAGUUUUUAAAGAGAGGUUUGAGUGUAAUGCAAUGUUAUGUAUAACUCAAUGAAGUAUUAGAUUCGGCAAGUGGCCCUUGGUUCAAAU